AGAAUGCACUAAUUGUAAGUCACUCUGAAUAAGAGUGUCUGCUAAAUGACUAAAA
rfam:Salmo salar isolate Sally breed double haploid chromosome ssa09, whole genome shotgun sequence.